AGCCAAGAAAAAGGAACACCCCGUAUCUACUUUUGGUCUUUAAAAAAAAAAAAAAAAAGUUCGCCGUUAGUAUUCUCUUUUGAAACCAACACUUUUUGGGGUAUAACAGAAUGUGCAAUUUUCGUGUGUCCAAUCAAAACAGGGCGAGUCCUCUCAAACACUCUUCUAUAUAUAGACCCUAUGCGACCGAGCGCCCCACUUUCCAACCCACUUCAUCGUCAAUCUGCACACGUGUUUGGUUGAAGUUGUACAUCAAACGCGAACAUGCAAAUUCGUGACAUUAACAUAAGGAUAGUCUAAUGAUUAUAUUUAGCCCUCUUAAAUGAAGAUUAUAUUUUGUGCAUUUCAAAUAUCAAGAACUGUCAUCACCGUGCUAUGGAUGGAGAAAAUUAAAGAAAGAAAAAAAAAUGGUUGGUGCUAUAUUUCGCGGCUCCGUGCUCUUUUUAAAUAGCGCACACAUUAAACAUGUCGACGAUGCACCAUAAAACAAGUGGUGCUGUGCUCCUGGACGCAGAUGGACGCAGAUGUUCGGUCCGGAUUGAAACCUAAUAAUAUACUGACGCACCGCUUUCUCAAGUGCGGUACCUGCGUGGGCCGCAUUAACGCUAGAAAUUUUUAUGAAAAAAAUAAAAUAAAAAAAAACCCAAAACGACACGUGUGUUUGUGCCAUUCAGUGGCAGGGGGGGAAAUGUUCGGUUCAAUCUGCUGACGCAACCAACGAAGUUAGUUGAUCUACUUUUUUUUCUUUCCUUUUAUUCGCUAUCUACAUUAAAUAGAACUUGUUUUCACAUAUUUUUUUUUAAACGUUUUGUUUGAAUUGAAAGGGAAAUAAAAUAGAUGACGUUUAA